AUCAUUACAUUGAAUCAUUGCACUCAAUUGCUACACAAUUCCUUGUUCCCUCAAUCAUUUCAGAUUUCAUGCAUCAUUGCACUCAAUUGCUACACCACUCCAUGUUCCCCUCCAUUGUCAUGCACUUCCUCUAUAAAAUAAAGUGUGUGUAACAUAAAUUGAGUCAUACUUUGUUAGAUCAUUCACUCCCAUUUCAACACAACCUUCAUCCAAACAUAUCCAUUCAUCUUCACAUCCAUUCCUCCAUACAAACAAACCUUCAAACACUCACCAACACCUUGUGCCGUAGCAAAGGAAGGGAAGGAAAGUGCUUAGAC
rnacentral:lncRNA from 1 species